AAUGAACGCUGGCGGCGUGCCUAACACAUGCAAGUCGAACGAGAAAAGUCCGCAAGGAUGAGUACAGUGGCGCACGGGUGAGUAAUGCAUAGGAAUCUGCCUUUUAGUGGAGGAUACCUUCGAGAAAUCGAGGUUAAUACUGCAUAAGCUGGAAACGGGAAAGAUGGCCUCGUGCUAUCGCUAAGAGAUGAGCCUAUGUCCUAUUAGUUAGUUGGUGAGGUAAAGGCUUACCAAGACGAAGAUGGGUAGCCGGCCUGAGAGGGUGAUCGGCCACACUGGAACUGAGACACGGUCCAGACUCCUACGGGAGGCAGCAGUGGGGAAUAUUGCACAAUGGGCGCAAGCCUGAUGCAGCGACGCCGCGUGGAGGAUGAAGGUUUUCGGAUUGUAAACUCCUGUUAAGUGGGAAAAAAGACUCAUACCUAAUACGUACGGGGGAUGAUGGUACCACUAGAGAAAGCACCGGCAAACUUCGUG
rnacentral:rRNA from 1 species